rnacentral:rRNA from 1 species
UUCAACGGCCGCGGUAUUCUAACCGUGCGAAGGUAGCGUAAUCACUUGUCUUCCAAAUAAAGACCAGUAUGAAAGGCAUCACGAGGACUAAGCUGUCUCCUUUUUCCAAUCAGUGAACCUAAUCUCCCCGUGAAGAAGCGGGAAUUAAAAUAUAAGACGAGAAGACCCUGUGGAGCUUAAAACAUUAUAACAUAUGCCCUACCCCAACUACCCCGGUAUUUAACCUAAAUGCACCCUGAUUAUAUGUUUUUGGUUGGGGUGACCGCGGAGAAAAACUUAUCCUCCGUAAUGAAAGGACUUCCCUAAGCAAUAAAUUACAACUUUAUGCAUCAAAAAAUUGACAUCAUCGACCCAAUAAAUUGAUCAAUGAACCAAGUUACCCCAGGGAUAACAGCACAAUCCACUUUGAGAGCUCCUAUCGACAAGUGGGCUUAUGACCUCGAUGUUGGAUCGGGGUAUCCUAGUGGUGCAGCCGCUACUAAAGGU